GCCUUCGUGGUGUAACGGUAACACACUCGGUGCAUAUUCGAGAGGUCCGGGUUCGAGUCCCGGCGAGGGCA